GUCCCAUUCUUUCUCUCGGCUGCUACUCCGCACAGAGAUUCACCGCCAUCAUCAGAUUCAUCGCCACGUUCUUAUUCUAUUCUUCCUCUUCUUCUUAUUCAUCAUCUUAGAAUCAACUAAUCCGAUGCCAAAUGUCCAUGCAAGAUAUCCUAAGAUCUGAAAAGAGGUUAAUGGGUUCUUUGUAAAAUGGGAGAUCGGUGGAAAAAUUGUGAGAAGAUUGUUGUACUUGUUGGAUUUGGAUCUUAUAGCUUCACUAAUUAUGAGAGGAGCAAGCGCCAACAAAAGAAAUAUUGGUCCAAUCUUACCAUGCCAAUCUGCAGAACCAUAAUAGUAAUUAUUAGUCACCAGCAGUUCAAGUUUCAGUUAUGUGUUUGAAUUUCAUUUUAUUGUCAAGGGGAAAUUACUGUGUGUGUUUUGUUCCUGAUGUAUGUUGGAAGAUGUAUUUGAAAUAUUAUUAUGUUACAAGUUUCUUAUUGUCAGUUAUAUGGGA